UCCAUUCGCAAACGUUAGGAUUCGAACCCCUGACCUUGCUUAAGGGACCUAGUGCCUCAUCCCACUAGACCAACUUUAUAUUACUUAGGCAUUCAUUUGGAGGAUAUGUUGCAGCUAAAUAUGUUCUCAAGCAUCCGGAACAUGUUCAACACUUAAUUUUAGUGGGGGCUGCUGGAUUUUCAUCAGGGUCAGAAGAAAAAUAUGAGUGGGUAAACCGCUUCAGAGCAACAUGGUAUGGAAGGGGAUAAUUUUGAGUCAUUUGUGGGAAUCCAAUUUUACCCUCAGAAGAUUAUAAGGCUUAGGUCCUUGGGGUCCAGAUCUUGUACGCAAGUAUACAUCUGCUAGGUUUAGUCCCCAAUAUUCAGCAGAGGGUGUAUUUACAGAGGAGGAGUCUAGACCUCUAUCUGAUUAUGUUUACCAUAUCUCAGCUGCCAAAGCAAGUGGAGAGCUCUGCUUGAACUUUAUAUUUGCAUUCGGUGCAUUUUGCUCGGUCACCCCUUUUAAACAGUUAUCAAGAUACCUGCCUAUGUUUAUAUCAAUCAAGAUUUUGUCCAAAUCUUAGUGCAUACGAGUGAAAGUGCCAACUACUUUUAUAUAUGGGACUACCAAGGAGCCCAAGCAGCCUGCAAGCAAAUGAAGGUCCCAUGUGAAAUUAUCAGGGUUCCUCAGGCUGGCCAUUUUGUGUUCCUUGAAAAUAAAGAUGGAUUCCAUUCAGCUGUGUUACAUGCCUGUAGGAGAUUUCUUUUACCUCACCCUGAUGACGAACCCUACCAGAGGGUUUGAUAUCAGCAUAGGAGGGAGUAUGUUUUAAUUUCUGCACACGAAUGUUGUAUUCAUUGGUCAGAAAAUUCUUUGAUAUCAGCAUAGGAGGAAGUAUGUUUAAUUUCUGUACACGGAUGUGUAUAUAUGUACCUACUGGGU